rnacentral:rRNA from 1 species
AGAGUUUGAUCCUGGCUCAGGACGAACGCUGGCGGCGUGCCUAACACAUGCAAGUCGAGCGAGAGACUUCGGUCUCUAGCGGCGGACGGGUGAGUAACACGUGGGUAACCUGCCUCAUAGAGGGGGAUAGCCUUCCGAAAGGAAGAUUAAUACCGCAUAACAUAGUUUAGUCGCAUGACUAGAUUAUCAAAGGAGUAAUCCGCUAUGAGAUGGACCCGCGGCGCAUUAGCUAGUUGGUGAGGUAACGGCUCACCAAGGCGACGAUGCGUAGCCGACCUGAGAGGGUGAUCGGCCACAUUGGAACUGAGAUACGGUCCAAACUCCUACGGGAGGCAGUAGUGGGGAAUAUUGCACAAUGGGCGAAAGCCUGAUGCAGCAACGCCGCGUGAGUGAUGAAGGCCUUCGGGUUGUAAAGCUCUGUCUUUGGGGACGAUAAUGACGGUACCCAAGGAGGAAGCCACGGCUAACUACGUGCCAGCAGCCGCGGUAAUACGUAGGUGGCAAGCGUUGUCCGGAUUUACUGGGCGUAAAGGAUGCGUAGGUGGAUAUUUAAGUCAGAUGUGAAAUACCCGAGCUUAACUUGGGUGCUGCAUUUGAAACUGGAUAUCUAGAGUGCAGGAGAGGUAAGUGGAAUUCCUAGUGUAGCGGUGAAAUGCGUAGAGAUUAGGAAGAACACCAGUGGCGAAGGCGACCUACUGGACUGUAACUGACACUGAGGCAUGAAAGCGUGGGGAGCAAACAGGAUUAGAUACCCUGGUAGUCCACGCCGUAACGAUGAGUACUAGUGUAGGAGGUAUCGACUCCUUCUGGUGCCGCAGUUAACAACAAUUAAGUACUUCGCCUGGGAAGUACGGUCGCAAGAUUAAAACUCAAAGGAAUUGACGG